ensembl:rRNA 5S_rRNA 5S ribosomal RNA
AACUAUGGCCAUACCACCCUGAAUGCACCUGAUCUCGUCUGAAAUGGGGAGACUGAGGACCAGGGCUGAGUCAUGUGUCAAGGUCUCACAGCAGCUGGUGGUAGAGCUGAAGUCACAGUGU